AUUGAACGCUGGCGGCAUGCUUUACACAUGCAAGUCGAACGGUAACAGGCCGCAAGGUGCUGACGAGUGGCGAACGGGUGAGUAAUGCAUCGGAACGUGCCCAGUCGAGGGGGAUAACGCAGCGAAAGCUGUGCUAAUACCGCAUACGAUCUGUGGAUGAAAGCGGGGGACCGAAAGGCGUCGCGCGAUUGGAACGGUAGAUGACAGAUUAGGUAGUUGGUGGGGUAAAGGCUCACCAAGCCAACGAUCUGUAGCUGGUCUGAGAGGACGACCAGCCACACGGGGACUGAGACAAGGCCCGGACUCCUACGGGGGGCAGCAGUGGGGAAUUUUGGACAAUGGGCGCAAGCCUGAUUCAGCAAUGCCGCGUGCAGGAAGAAGGCCUUCGGGUUGUAAACUGCUUUUGUGCGGAGCGAAAAGGCUCUCUCUAAUACAGGGGGCUCAUGACGGUACCGUAAGAAUAAGCACCGGCUAACUACGUGCCAGCCGCCGCAGUAAUAC
rnacentral:rRNA from 1 species